rnacentral:rRNA from 1 species
UACGGGGGGAGCAAGCGUUGUUCGGAUUUACUGGGCGUAAAGGGCGCGUAGGCGGUAGCACAAGUCAGUUGUGAAAUCUCCGGGCUUAACUCGGAAAGGUCAACUGAUACUGUGCGACUAGAGUGCAGAAGGGGCAACUGGAAUUCUCGGUGUAGCGGUGAAAUGCGUAGAUAUCGAGAGGAACACCUGCGGCGAAGGCGGGUUGCUGGGCUGACACUGACGCUGAGGCGCGAAGGCCAGGGGAGCGAACGGG